rnacentral:rRNA from 1 species
GUAAAACAUCGGAACGUACCCAGUUGUGGGGGAUAGCCCGGCGAAAGCCGGAUUAAUACCGCAUACGACCUGAGGGUGAAAGGGGGGGAUCGCAAGACCUCUCGCAGUUGGAGCGGCCGAUGGCGGAUUAGCUAGUUGGUGAGGUAAAGGCUCACCAAGGCGACGAUCCGUAGCUGGUCUGAGAGGACGACCAGCCACACUGGAACUGAGACACGGUCCAGACUCCUACGGGAGGCAGCAGUGGGGAAUUUUGGACAAUGGGGGCAACCCUGAUCCAGCCAUUCCGCGUGAGUGAAGAAGGCCUUCGGGUUGUAAAGCUCUUUCGGCAGGAACGAAACGGAGUGGGCCAAUACCCUGCAUCAAUGACGGUACCUGAAGAAGAAGCACCGGCUAACUACGUGCCAGCAGCCGCGGUAAUACGUAGGGUGCGAGCGUUAAUCGGAAUUACUGGGCGUAAAGCGUGCGCAGGCGGUUCUAUAAGACAGAUGUGAAAUCCCCGGGCUUAACCUGGGAACUGCGUUUGUGACUGUAGGACUCGAGUGUGGCAGAGGGGGGUGGAAUUCCACGUGUAGCAGUGAAAUGCGUAGAGAUGUGGAGGAACACCGAUGGCGAAGGCAGCCCCCUGGGAUAACACUGACGCUCAUGCACGAAAGCGUGGGGAGCAAACAGGAUUAGAUACCCUGGUAGUCCACGCCCUAAACGAUGUCAACUGGCUGUUGGGAGAGGAAUCUCUUAGUAGCGAAGCUAACGCGUGAAGUUGACCGCCUGGGGAGUACGGCCGCAAGGUUGAAACUCAAAG